rnacentral:rRNA from 1 species
UACGUAGGGUGCAAGCGUUACUCGGAAUUACUGGGCGUAAAGCGUGCGCAGGCGGUUAUGUAAGCCAGAUGUGAAAUCCCCGGGCUCAACCUGGGAACUGCAUUUGUGACUGCAUAGCUAGAGUACGGUAGAGGGGGAUGGAAUUCCGCGUGUAGCAGUGAAAUGCGUAGAUAUGCGGAGGAACACCGAUGGCGAAGGCAAUCCCCUGGACCUGUACUGACGCUCAUGCACGAAAGCGUGGGGAGCAAACAGG